AUGGGGCUGUAAAAGAUGUCAACAUACUUUUGAGCUGUGAAAAUAAAGCCUGGAGUCUUCUAAAACAGCUGGACAGCUUUCUUCUGAGCUAUAAGACAAGUCUGGAGGAACUUGUCAAAAGAAAACAAGAAAACAUUCCUAAAUCUCUCACUGCUAAUCUGGUUAAUAUUUACCAGUUUAGGGAUUAUGUACAAAAACCAGAACAUCCUUUCUCAGAGGACACUAGAACAGCUUGCCUGUCCACAUUAGCAG